AGUGAUUUAAGGAAGAGGAAUGAUUAGCAAUUCUUGGCGGGAAACCUGGAUUAUAAAUCCAUCACUACUUGACAGCACAGCAAGGCACUGUAUUCAAACUUGUCAAGGAAGUUGGUGACCAUUUUCCCUCCAAAAACCAUCAUCGGCAAUGCUACAGAGAAUCUACUUUCAGUGACUCAUCCUCCGAAGGUCAGAAAAAAUGGUGACCCUGUUUACUGAGCUCUCGUGCCUGCUGAGCGUCGAUCCUGGCUUCCACUCCAGCCCUCGUGCUUCAGUAGUCCGUGUAGCCGGACCAGAGGGCAGCUACAUCGAGACUCGCAUCAGGCCAGCCAUGUUAAAAGUUCUGCCUGGCUAGUUUGGCUGUGAAGAGGCCUUUCUUGUUUCUCCUACACACAUGAAUAAACAUAAGGUCAGGUAAGAUUUUUAAGCAUUAUCCCCCAUAAGGGUUUGCUGUUGAGUUAAAAAACCAGCUCAGGGGGCAGUAGGAAAGUAAACCUCUGCCAGUGUAAAGUGGAGUACUUCGGGCUAGAGUAGCUUGAGAGAGAGUAUAAUUUAAUAUGCUUAAAGGGAUAACCGCCAUGAAUGGAGAGUGACAUAAUCGGGACAAUCACACAUGAUACUGUUUGUGUUCAACUGCUUGCUUCCAAUGUUUCCCUCAGCUAAAAUCAUACAAAUUGGAGAAACAGUUUGCAGGGAAAAAAAAAAAAAGAAAGCCUGCUGUACAGGAAAAUAUAAGGCUGUCAACUCAGUUAGUUAUUAAGUGUAGAAAGCUUACAUUCUAAUAUGUACAUAGCUACCUACAGUUCUUGCAUGCUGUGUACAGUCUUUUAGAGAAAAAGCUCCUUAUGUCCACUGUCUUCUUUUUUAGGAGGCAUUUCAUUGCUGUAAUAUUGUGGGUUGAUACAAAAAACAGUAAAGGACAACAAGUUUUACAGUAAUUAAGUAGAUGUGGAUUAUAACUAGUUCAAAAUCACUGGUGCUAAAGUCACUUACAGUGAUGCUAAUGUUACUUACUAUAGUGUAAGCUAUUUCUGAAGCUCUAAAGAACUGCUCAGUCUGAUGAAGUUAUACUGUUUUCAUGAUGCUCCACAUUGUAGACUGGUGGAAGACUGUAUUCAAGUGCAUUAGCAGUGUUGGCAGAUAGGACUGGCAAAAAGUAGCUCAAUCAAAGCCUAGAACCAACCCAAUUGUCAUAAAGCUAGUGUAUUGAUCCUAUUGCCUCCAGUCUUCUUUUUUAUCUGUAUAAUUAGGCUAGAGUCAAUACCAGAGUAACAAUAACAGAUAUUUAUAAUAGAAAUCAUAACUUUUUCAGAUUUUAGAUAAUGUUACAUUUAAUGUAAUUUUCCCUCAUAUGAGCAGCUGCUGCAGGUGUUUUACCACAGAACUCUGACAGAAUUAUAACUGGGAUAGGCAAUAAGUUUCAAUUUAGUUGUAACAACCUGAAAGGACGUUUGGUUUAGACUGUCAUUGAACUGAUGCCAUGUUCAUGUCAUUUAUGGUAUGGAAAGAUUGUUAACUUACAAGUGUUCAUGUCAUCAGGACUGUUAGCAUAUGAUUAUAGAGUCGGUUGUGUAAAGAUUAAUUGACAAUAUAACACCACACAAUUAAAUGUGAGUUUAUUACAGUGAACAUCUGUCUUUGACUGAUGUGACGCUUCUAUGUUUGUUUGGUCUUCAGGUACUUCCAUAAUAUGAAGUUAGACAUGUUGGAGCUUUCAGAAAAAAAUUCCAAUCAUAAUUGGGACCUGGAUGUUGACGUGAGCGCAAUUUACAAAUCGGAAAUUCAUAAUUAUGAUAAUUCUGAUAUGACAUGAAUGCUGCAUUAGCCUUCUGGACUCUGUUGACUGGGAAAGACACCCUUGCUUGCUAAACCAUUUCAUAUUUGGAAAUUUUAGGCCCCAGAGAUGAACAAACCAUAGUGUACAGUAUAGUGAGUAGUGAAAUCCAUCCAUAUUUGAGCCAGAGAACAGUAAAGAAGCUGUGAGAGAAAGAACCACAGGGGAAUACAGAAUAAUUUUAGAAGUUGGAAGAAGAGGUUUUCGGUAGCAGCGCAGUCGAGAGGGGUCAGAUUUCAGAACACAGACUUUGCAGCGUACACUUUGUAGAAACCGUCGCUGUACAUGGAAAAAGUAAGAGCACUAACAGUAGUGGGUGUUUUUUAAAAUAUGUUGGUUCUGUGAAUACAUGUAACAUUCAAGACUUAUAUACACUAGUAUCCAACAAUGCUUUGUGUAGCAUACAGACUCUCAAAUCAGAGCUUGGCAGCAGAGCUAACGGCAGCUGCGCGAAUCUCCUUUGAAUUUACAAAGUGGUUAUGCCUUCUCUGCAGAGUUCAACAAAAGCAGCUAACUGGCUGCCAAAAGAACAGCAGAAAGACUUUUGUUUCUAUGGCAUUCUGCAUACUUUUCAUUGUGCAGCUUGUUUUUGACUGCUCUCAAAUUAUAAAUGGUGUUUCAAAAGAAAACACUGUCAGAAGCCCAAGUAUGUG